rnacentral:rRNA from 1 species
AGAGUUGUAUCCUGGCUCAGGAUGAACGCUAGCGGCAGGCUUAACACAUGCAAGUCGAGGGGCAGCGGGGAGUAGCAAUACUUCGCCGGCGACCGGCGCACGGGUGCGUAACGCGUAUGCAACCUACCAUAUACAGGGGGAUAAUCACUCGAAAGGGUGUCUAAUACCCCAUAGUAUUAUUUAUCUGCAUGGAAAAAUAAUUAAAGAUUUAUUGGUAUAUGAUGGGCAUGCGUGACAUUAGCUAGUUGGAGAGGUAACGGCUCACCAAGGCAACGAUGUCUAGGGGUUCUGAGAGGAAGAUCCCCCACACUGGUACUGAGACACGGACCAGACUCCUACGGGAGGCAGCAGUGAGGAAUAUUGGUCAAUGGGCGAGAGCCUGAACCAGCCAUGCCGCGUGAAGGAAGACUGCCCUACGGGUUGUAAACUUCUUUUAUAUGGGGAUAAACCUAUUCUUGCGAGAGUAGCUGAAGGUACCAUAUGAAUAAGCAUCGGCUAACUCCGUGCCAGCAGCCGCGGUAAUACGGAGGAUGCGAGCGUUAUCCGGA